rnacentral:rRNA from 1 species
CGGAUUGUAGUCUGCAACUCGACUACAUGAAGCUGGAAUCGCUAGUAAUCGCGAAUCAGAAUGUCGCGGUGAAUACGUUCCCGGGUCUUGUACACACCGCCCGUCACACCAUGGGAGUCAGUAACGCCCGAAGUCAGUGACCCAACCGGAACCGGAGGGAGCUGCCGAAGGUGGGACCGAUAACUGGGGUGAAGUCGUAACAAGGUAGC